AUGGCAUCAGAGCAGCAGCCGGGGUGCUCACGGCAUACCCCAGGGCUCCGGCCACCUCUGCCCGAACUGCUACGGAGGGCCUGGGCCCCGGCGAGACCCCACGCUCCCAGAGCCCAAACACUCACUCUGCCUCCAGAAGUCAGCAAACUUGGCCAGGGGGGAGCUGAGGGAUGCCGAGAAAAACCUCCCAGGCUCAUCCAUGUAGCAGAACGGGGAAAUGGGCCAGCAGCGCGGGGACAGCACCAGCACCUUCACCUCUGGGGCCUCCGCCAGGGAUGCCUCCCCCAGCGCCUGGCACAAAGGCACGAGGGGGGCUCAGGACAAGGCCUAGGACCUCCACAAGGAGCACAGGAGGGCCCCGGCCUCCCUGACCCACUGGGCCGCUCACCUCGGCCUCGGGACUCUCCAGGCCCGUGUCCAGCUCCAGCAGCUGCUUGUCCUGCUCCUGCAGCUGGAAGAGGUAAAACUGCUGCUGGAGCUCCUCCGACUCGGCCAAGUUGCUCAGCAUCUGUUGGGGGAAGCGACUGGGGAAGCACAACCCAAGCUGCUCCACGACGGCCGCUUCCAGCCACGAGGGCCCCUGCGCCAGGAGCCGGUCCCCCAGGUAGUACCUGCCACAGCCACCAACAUCAGGACAGGGGCCAGCCCGAGCCCUGCUCCAGCCCCACGGCCCUCAGUCACCCGCCACGAGCCAGCCCUGGCCUGUCCUCCCACCAAGGCGCGUGGACCCAGCAGCACCAUUCUCCCUGCUCCCCGUCUCCAACAGCGAACGCAGGCUCCGCAGGCCAGCAGAGACCACAGACUCUUACAGCCUUUCCCUCUCCAACCCAGAGCCAUGCAAAGGGGGAGCACUGCUGCCAUACCAGGGCCAGCCUGAGCCAUGGCCUCGACACCACCUGCGCCUCCUCUGUCACGCCACGCCAUGCCAGGCCCUCAAGUCACGCGGAGACACGGCACCCCUCACCGGUAGAAGUGCUCAAAGGUAUGGGCGAGCUCCAGGCCACAGAAGACGACAAAGGGCUCCAGGAUCUGCUGCAGCGGCCCCGUGCUGCCCAUGACCCCAUGCAGCUCCUGCAUCUGCCUGUCGAGGUAGCGGGCAAACUGCUCGCUCACCUGCAGAGGGACAGGGCUGGCUGUGGAGGGGGCUCCCCAGGGCACGGCAGGGGCAACACCCCUGUGCUCCUGCAGGGAGCAGGCAGGGAGCCCUGA
rnacentral:lncRNA from 1 species